rnacentral:sRNA from 1 species
GACCUUGCAUGUUGCUCAGAUGAGGUUUCUCCUUUAAAACAAAAUUCCCUGGUGCUCUUCUGGGCCCAGCCAGGCUGGACAGUCCCCGGUGGCCACCACGGCCCGCCACAGCCCUGGUCGUAGGCCCCAGGGCUCAGCCAGCUGCCUCUCUCUUCCAGUGUGUGAUGACGCUGCUCUACGCCUUCUCCAAGGACAUAUUCUCCGUCAUCAACUUCUUCAGCUUCUUCAACUGGCUCUGCGUGGCCCUGGCCAUCAUCGGCAUGAUCUGGCUGCGCUACAGAAAGCCUGAGCUUGAGCGGCCCAUUAAGGUGAACCUGGCCCUGCCCGUGUUCUUCAUCCUGGCCUGCCUCUUCCUGAUCGCUGUCUCCUUCUGGAAGACACCCGUGGAGUGUGGCAUCGGCUUCACCAUCAUCCUCAGCGGGCUGCCCGUCUACUUCUUCGGGGUCUGGUGGAAAAACAAGCCCAAGUGGCUCCUCCAGGGCAUCUUCUCCACGACCGUCCUGUGUCAGAAGCUCAUGCAGGUGGUCCCCCAGGAGACAUAGCCAGGAGGCCGAGUGGCUGCCGGAGGAGCAUGCGCAGAGGCCAGCUAAAGUAGUUCACCUCCUCGAACCCACUCCGGUUCCCCGCAACCCACAGCUCAGCUGCGCAUCCCAGUCCCUCGCCGUCCCUCCCAGGUCGGGCAGCGGAGGCUGUUGUGAAAACUCUGGUACGAAUCUCAUCCCUCAACUGAGGGCCAGGGACCCAGGUGUGCUUUUGG